AACGCUGGCGGCAGGCUUAAUACAUGCAAGUCGAACGGUAACAUGUCGGAGCAAUCUGAUGAUGACGAGUGGCGCACGGGUGCGUAACGCGUAUGCAACCUACCCAUAACCGGAACAUAACGUUGAGAAAUCGGCGCUAAUAUUCCAUGUGUAUAUUUUGUGGCAUCAUAGAAUAUAUAAAGAUUAAUUGGUUAUGGAUGGGCAUGCGUAUCAUUAGCUAGUUGGUGGGGUAACGGCCUACCAAGGCUGCGAUGAUUAGGGGUUCUGAGAGGAUAACCCCCCACACUGGAACUGAGACACGGUCCAGACUCCUACGGGAGGCAGCAGUAGGGAAUAUUGGGCAAUGGAGGCAACUCUGACCCAGCCAUGCCGCGUGAAGGAAGACGGUCCUAUGGAUUGUAAACUUCUUUUAUCAUAGAGUAACCGCAGGGACGUGUCCCUGCCUGCAAGUAUAUGAUGAAUAAGCAUCGGCUAACUCCGUG
rnacentral:rRNA from 1 species